AGGAACCUACGGGGGGCAGCAGUGGGGAAUAUUGGGCAAUGGGCGCAAGCCUGACCCAGCAACGCCGCGUGAAGGAAGAAGGCUUUCGGGUUGUAAACUUCUUUUCUGAGGGACGAAGAAAGUGACGGUACCUCAGGAAUAAGCCACGGCUAACUACGUGCCAGCAGCCGCGGUAAUACGUAGGUGGCAAGCGUUAUCCGGAUUUAUUGGGUGUAAAGGGCGUGUAGGCGGGAUUGAAAGGCAGAUGGG
rnacentral:rRNA from 1 species